rnacentral:lncRNA from 1 species
GAUGUAGAAUUUUAUCUACUUUUGUUUGAUACCAAAAAUUUACUUGUACCUUGAAUUUUGAUUUUUGAAUUAAUCUCCAAAAUCGACACAUUUUACCCCAUUGUGCAGCGUUUCGAUACGAUUGCAUCACUAACGGUGUGCAUACUAGCAUUGGACCGAUGGACAUUGUUUGCGAGUAUUAUUGAAGUUUUUCGGAGAAAGGCCAGGGUUGUGCUACUUUAUUAUAUUGGGAAAAAAAAUUGCCAUUACUGACUCCACCACCAGAGCCAUUGCAUUCAUUGCUUCGCGGCGAAACACCCGAAUCACGACAUUUUUUAGCAAACACUUAAAAAUACAAUGGUUGUUUCCAAAUGACAUCAUUUAGGGCGGAAAUUAUAGGAGAACAAGGAUUUAAUCCUAUAUUCAAGAUACAAGGACAUAUUCACCGACGAAUUGAAUCAAUACUGUCUCUAGAAGAUUCACAGUAGAGUGCUUCAAAAAAAUUAUACUUCAUGGGCAACAUGGAGGAACAACUUGAUCGGAGAUAAAUGUAGCAGUGAAAAGAUAAUUAUUCGUGAUCUGCAGCAACUACUUAAUGAACGUCAUGCGUUGUCGAUGACUACAAAAUCGUGAUCAAAGCAUAUAAACGACCAUUUGGAACACACGAACGCAAUUAUUUAUUUAAUGCUCGCAACAAUAAAUCAAGUGGCCACCCUUAUUUUUAGUGAAAACUUGGAAACACGCGAUAUUGUGCUUACACGUCGCGAUACUGAGUAACUGCAACAAAUAUCUGACAUGUUGCAAUAGCCGCUAAUGUUUUGGCAAGGUGAAGAUGAAUAUUAUUUCAAUAUCUAAAUGAAAAAACCAUUGAAUGGUGAGUUUCAAUAUAAUAGUUGUUUAGAGAAUAUUGGACAAAUUACUGGCAACCGUCUAAAAAUCAUUAUCUCGACAUAUUUGUAAUUACUUUAAAAAUAUAGAUGUAAGUUUUACAUUCGUAAUAAUAAUACUCCUGUCUUAAUUUCAUGUGAAAAAACUACCAGGAACGUUAGCUCGAUGAAUUAUUACACAUACCGUUUGAUGAUUCGACAAAAUGCUGACAACUAUUUGCUGCGGCUUCGACGUUUGCUGCAGCAUGUACGUCAAAACAGAAACGGAGCGCUUAACUUUCAUUCGGUUGAACCAAGUCAAACUGCGUUCUGAGGAGUAUAUCCAUUUACGAGAUGCAAUUCGUACGGAACGACAUGCAGCUAAUAUAGGCCGAUUAACUCUUCUGCCAUCGACGUACAUAGGAUAGAGAUUGUUCAAUUGCUGCUUCCGGACAAACAUUAAAUGACCGACACGACAUCACAGCGCGUGUAAUCAGACAAAAACGCGGUCCCUGAUAAAAUUCAUUGUUAAACAACGCAUUUUUGUAGAUACUAGAUGCUGGAUGUAAUCAAUAGAAUGACAAAGGUAGGAUUGCCGCACGCACACAUUUCUAUUUGGUUAGUGAAAAGAAUUCAAUCAGUCAAAAUCGAUGAUGUUAUAUGUGCCAAGAUUCCCGAUCCACAUCUAUAAUGUUGUAAUUAGAAAUAUGAUUCAUUGACCGUGUGACGCCAAUCACCUUGCGUGAUGGACGGCAAGUAUUCCAAACACAAAAAAGUGAAAAUAAUGGAUUUCGUGAUCAAUAUUUGGAUUGUUUCAUAUUCCCCAAUUAUUUCAAGACGCAUUGCAACGUCGAGUAUUGCAAUUCAUUAAAAUCCAUAAAAAACAUUUGCUAAUAUGUCACGGAAGGCAUCGAUAUGGCGGUUUUUGUCAUCCAGACCUCCAAUAGCAACAAUGAACGCUAUCAAGUAUGUCGAUAUGUGAACUGCAAUGAAGCGAUUUGGCAUAUAUUCGCAUUCUCUAUUCACUAAAGCCAUCGCACAAUUGUACACCUGGAGAAUGGUUAAAGUAAAUAUUAUACAGCUUUGAAUGUUGUUUAACGAGCUGAAACACCUCCAGCGACUAAUUGACUGUUAAUGCUACAGUAUUCCCAACAAUUUGUGCUGCAUGUGGAGAACUAAAUUAAUUAGGUUUACGAUACCUAUUGGAAACGGCAAUCGUUGAACCAAUUGUCUCCAAGUCAGAUACAAACAUUUUCUAUCAUCAUUUCGACAUGCUUUCAAUCGAACCCAUCUAACCUCUGGCAAAAAUACAAGGAUAAUAUGUCAGAAGAUAUUUUACAACAAAUUCGUGUCAGUUAGAGAAAUCCCAACCUUCAGAUGAAUAAGAAGAUACAUAAUCGGGCUUUGAUCUUGAUCAAAGACAUGUGUUACCUCAUAUUCGGUAUUCAGGUCAGGUUAGAAACAAAAGCGCAAAAUCGUGAAAUGAAUGACGCAUUUAAUUGAGAAUUUAAAUGGGUAAGUGAAUAUGAUCACCAGGAAUUAGAUUUAAUAGUUUGAACGGAUGUACCCUUGCUGAAUCACCAACAAAAGAAAGUUUUUGGUUUUUAUUUCCUGGAUGCCCUUGGUGGUACUGGUGGCAUUUCUCAUGUCUGUAGUUUUAGCCAUGUUCGUGCGAGAUCCAACAUUACGAUGGCAGAUGCUGCUCUGUAAUAGAAGCCACAUUGUUAAAGGAAUGCCGUACGGCUCAUUCAGAAUUAAAAUUGACGUUAAAUCUUCAAACUAUUGAAGAACCAACAUUUAAUAUCGCAAAACACUCCGCAAUGGCCUAAGUUUUAUCAGCAUCGAAAAUCAUCAUCUGGGACGAACGCACAAUGGCACAUAAACGAGCAUGGGAAGCAUUACACAACAAUUAUAGAUCUAUGUGUUGACACCAUAUGUUUUGGAUACGCGAUUAUUUUACUGUCUGGAGAUUUCCGCCAAACACUACUAGUAAUACCAAGAUCAACUGCUGCAGACGAAAUACACGCUUGCCAAUCAUCCAAUAUAUGGCCAGUAUUCCCAACCAUCGUUACAAACCACAAAAAGAAUUAAUGGUUGAGUGAGCGAGCAAUUUUGAAGGCUCAGAAUAAAGACGUAUGUAUAUGACAUAAGCUUCAUAUUUCAGAAUGAAAUAAUUGCAACACUGAAUUUUUUCAAAUCAAUUGACUAUGUAACAAAUUAAGGUGAAGCUACGAACUAUCCAGUUUAAUUUUUAAACACCUUGGAUAUGCCAGGCCUUCCACCGCUCAGUUUACGACUAAAAGUUGGAUCCGUAGUAAUCAUGCUUCGAAACAUAAACUAACCAAAGCUGUGCAACAAAAUGCGUUUGGUGAAAAGGAAAUUGAUGAAUAAUGUGAUUUAAGAUACGAUACUUAAUGAAAAAAUCGAAGAAGAGGAAGUUCCCUUUCCAAGAAUCCCGAUGAUUCCAGCCGACAUGCCGUUUGAGCUUAAAAGACUUCAACGUUUAGAAAAUCAAUGUUUUUCCCAUGGUCAAUUAUAUGUGGCAUGUUCACGGGCCGGAAGACCAUUACAUUAUUUGUUCGAGCACCUGAUAAUAAAAUGAAAAAUGUCGUCUAUCCCAAAGUGCUUCAUUAAAAAGUAGAAUCCAUGCACUGAAAUACAUUGCCAAUAAAGAAUCCUUAAAAUACUUGCUUCUUUAAUUUACCUACAUUAAUUAUCCACAUAAAAAAUGUACCUUGAUGAAAUUAAAAAUCUGUUCAUUUAUUACCUCUAAGGUACACACGAAGUUCGCCGGGUUAGCUAGUUAUGUAAAAUAAUAUAAAAAAAAUACAAUAAGAAUAAAUAAAAGUAUUGCAUUGUCUAAAAAA